rnacentral:rRNA from 1 species
AUGGAGGCAACGCAGGGAACUGAAACAUCUUAGUACCUGCAGGAGAAGAAAAUAAUAAUGAUUCCCUUAGUAGCGGCGAGCGAAAUGGGAAGAGCCCAAACCAUCUAUGUUUAGGCAUAGAUGGGGUUGUAGGACUCACAUAACGGUAUAUAAAUUGAAGUGGAAUCAAUUGGAAAGUUGAGCCAUAGAGGGUGACAGCCCCUUACACGUAAGCUUUAUAUAUUAGUGAGUAUCCUGAGUAGUGCGGGACACGAGAAAUCCUGUAUGAAUCUGCCGGGACCAUCCGGUAAGGCUAAAUACUCCUGAGAGACCGAUAGUGAACCAGUACCGUGAGGGAAAGGUGAAAAGCACCCUGAACAAGGGAGUGAAAUAGUUCCUGAAACCGUACGCUUACAAGCGGUUGGAGCAGCUUCGUGCUGUGACAGCGUGCCUUUUGCAUAAUGAGCCUACGAGUUAGUCGUCACUAGCGAGCUUAAGAUCAUUGAUGAUCGGAGGCGAAGCGAAAGCGAGUCUUAAUAGGGCGCGUAGUUAGUGGCGCUAGACGCGAAACCUUGUGAUCUACCCAUGGUCAGGUUGAAGUGGCAGUAACAUGUCAUGGAGGACCGAACC